GGAAGGACCUGCUUUAGAAGAGGCACCUAAUUUGGGAGAAAGCACUCCAGGGGAAGCGAGAGGAACGAGAAUUCUGGGCUGGCCCACCUGCUCUAGCAGUGAUGUGUUCAUUUAUCUUGAGAUGAUUUAGGACGAUACCCCAAGUUUCUGUGGAAGCUCAGGCACCCCAACACAUAAUCCCUUCUGGACAUUUGAGGGCUUGUGGUCUUCUCCAGGUGAUGUGCAGGCAAUCAGAACUGUUGCACUUUUCACAUUGGGUGUUUGCCUCCUUAGUGCAUACCACUCUCCAGUAGUGGGUAGUUAAAGACAGAGAAAUUGGGGGCUGGGGAUGGAAGAGAGAAAGAUAACCACAGCUCUGCUUCACAACCCAUGAAGCUUCCCCACUGCAGCUGGGGACUGGAGGUUUGAACUCAAGUCCUUACAUAUAAUAACCACUGCCUGUCCCCAAAUCUUGUGUUGCUUAUGAAAAUCUUUGUUUUGCUUUUGAUAUUCCCAUCUAUGUGUUAUCUAUCUGUAUAGUUACUUACCUUGGAAACCUUGAGCUUUUGUUAGAUUUCUUUUUUGUCCUCUUCAUAUUUUUGAUGACCAGAUUAAUUAUAUAAACUAGUUUUUUCUUGAAUGCAUCCCUAUCCAUUUCUCAUGUCACUGCUCAUGAUCAGAUCUUCGUGGAUUUUUUUUUUUAAUUAAUAGUUUGUUACAAGGUUGUAAGAUUACAGUGUAUAGUUCCACACCACGCCCACCACCAAAGUUCUGUAUCCCCCAUAUCUCCCAAAGGUAACCACCAUAGUUCUUAUAAGGCUUACAGUUUGCUUGCAUCUGUUUUGUUUGGAUUUUUUUUCUGUUUUGAUCAAGUUCAUGUAUAUCAGAUCUCUAGAUUCCACGUGUGAAACCAUCUAAAAGUUGUCUUUCCUCUUAUUUCGCUAAGCAUAAUCACCUCCUGUUCUAUCCAUUUUGUCCCAAAGAACACAAUAUCAUCUUUUUCUUGCAUAGUAGUAUUCCAUGGACUAUAUAUCCCAUAACUUCUUUAGCCAGUCAUCUGAUGCUGGGCAUCUAGGUUGCUUCCACUAUUAUUCCAGUACUGUGAAUAAUGCAGCUAUGAACAUAGAGGUGCAUAUGUCCCUUCUAAUUAGUACUUAAGUGUCCACUAGAUAAAUAACCAAAAGUGGUAUUGCUGAGAUCCUCAUGAUCUCUUACCCUUGAAGUAAUCUUUAGUUAUUCACAUUUCAAGUUCUACCUCCUUCCAAUCUAUCUUCCAUGAGACACAACCUCUCCGACCCCCACUCUCCCCACACACACCCAUGUAAUAUCUUCAGAAGCUUCUACUGAAUGAAAUCUAGACUUCCUGUGAAACACAAAGCCUCAUGUGGCCAGGCAUCUUUAAUUUAUUUUUUCUUUUUUUUAAAUCCUGUUUUAUAUUUAUUUUCCCUUUUGUUGCCCUUUUUUUUAAAAAUUAUUGUUGCAGUUAUUACUGUUGUUGUUAUUGAUGUCGUCGUUAGGACAGAGAGAGGAGGGGAAGACAGAGACGUGGAGAGAAAGACAGACACCUGCAGACCUGCUUCACUGCCUGUGAAGUCCCCUGUAGGUGGGGAGGUGGGGACCAGGAUCCUUAUGCCGGUCCUUGCGCUUUGCACCACGUGCGCUUAACCCGCUGUGCUACCACCCGUCUCCCUCUUUUUUUUUUUUUUUUUUGUCCUUAGUUUUAUUUAUUUAUUAUUGGAUAGAGACAGAGGGAAAUUGAGAGGGGAGGGGAAGAUAGAGGAGAGAGAGAGAGAGACCUGCAGCUCUACUUCACCACUCAUGAAGCUUUCCCCCUGCAGGUGGGGACCAGGGGCUUGAAUACCGAAAUGUCCUUGCUCACCAAAAUCUGUGCGCUUCACCAGGUGUGCCAUUGCCUGGUCCUGGUACCUCUAUUUUCAUCUCCCUUCGUCUGUCCAUAACUCUUAGUGUUAUAGUUUACACAGAGGUAGGCUCAUGCUGCUUCCUUAAACAGGUUAUUUCCCUUGGCCUGACAUGCCCUUCACUUAACCUGUCUACCUGUUAUCUUUCCCAGCGUGCUCUCUAAUCUCUCUUACUUUGAUAAUAUAUGCAUCUCUCAUUCCAGUGAAAACUUGCACUUCCCUCUGUAUUACAGUUAUGAACCAGACUGAGAUGUCAACCAUGUUUCUCCCCUUCAUCACAACUGAAACCCCAUUGAGGACAAGAACUGUAUCUUAACCUUGUAACCCCAAUAGCUUACAAGGCCUGCCUUAAUUAUUCCGAAAAUAUUGGCAGCCUGGGAGGUGAUGCUGUGUUGCAGUCUGAAACCUGAGGUCCCAAGUUCAAUCCCUGGGGUCCUGGUGCAAGAUGGUGGAGGAGGACCUAUGCUAGGGUGUUUUGCAGAAAAGUGAGAAAUUUUACAUAUUUACCAACAACAUUACUGUAAACCAUUAGUCCCCCAAUAAAAAAAUAAAA